AUGAAGAGUUUGAUCCUGGCUCAGGAUGAACGCUAGCGGCAGGCCUAACACAUGCAAGUCGAGGGGCAGCGGGGAAAAGCUUGCUUUUCCGCCGGCGACCGGCGCACGGGUGCGGAACGCGUAUGGAACCUGCCCCUGUCAGGGGAAUAGCCCAGGGAAACUUGGAUUAAUGCCCCAUGGUACCAAUAUAUCGCAUGAUAUUUUGGUUAAAGAUUUAUCGGACAGGGAUGGCCAUGCGUACCAUUAGUUAGAUGGUGAGGUAACGGCUCACCAUGGCAGCGAUGGUUAGGGGCCCUGAGAGGGGGAUCCCCCACACUGGUACUGAGACACGGACCAGACUCCUACGGGAGGCAGCAGUGAGGAAUAUUGGACAAUGGGCGGGAGACUGAUCCAGCCAUGCCGCGUGCAGGAUGACUGCCCUAUGGGUUGUAAACUGCUUUUAUACGGGAAGAAACGCACCUACGUGUAGGUGUCUGACGGUACCGUAAGAAUAAGGACCGGCUAACUCCGUGCCAGCAGCCGCGGUAAUAC
rnacentral:rRNA from 13 species